rnacentral:rRNA from 1 species
UACGGGAGGCAGCAGUGGGGAAUAUUGCACAAUGGGCGAAAGCCUGAUGCAGCGACGCCGCGUGAGGGAUGACGGCCUUCGGGUUGUAAACCUCUUUCAGCAGGGAAGAAGCCACAAGUGACGGUACCUGCAGAAGAAGCGCCGGCUAACUACGUGCCAGCAGCCGCGGUAAUACGUAGGGCGCAAGCGUUGUCCGGAAUUAUUGGGCGUAAAGAGCUCGUAGGCGGUUUGUCGCGUCUGCUGUGAAAGCCCGGGGCUUAACCCCGGGUGUGCAGUGGGUACGGGCAGACUAGAGUGCAGUAGGGGAGACUGGAAUUCCUGGUGUAGCGGUGGAAUGCGCAGAUAUCAGGAGGAACACCGAUGGCGAAGGCAGGUCUCUGGGCUGUUACUGACGCUGAGGAGCGAAAGCAUGGGGAGCGAACAGGAUUAGAUACCCUGGUAGUCCAUGCCGUAAACGUUGGGCACUAGGUGUGGGGGACAUUCCACGUUUUCCGCGCCGUAGCUAACGCAUUAAGUGCCCCGCCUGGGGAGUACGGCCGCAAGGCUAAAACUCAAAGGAAUUGACGGGGGCCCGCACAAGCGGCGGAGCAUGCGGAUUAAUUCGAUGCAACGCGAAGAACCUUACCAAGGCUUGACAUAUACCGGAUCGUUCCAGAGAUGGUUCUUCCCCUUUGGGGUCGGUAUACAGGUGGUGCAUGGUUGUCGUCAGCUCGUGUCGUGAGAUGUUGGGUUAAGUCCCGCAACGAGCGCAACCCUCGUUCCAUGUUGCCAGCACGUGAUGGUGGGGACUCAUGGGAGACUGCCGGGGUCAACUCGGAGGAAGGUGGGGAUGACGUCAAAUCAUCAUGCCCCUUAUGUCUUGGGCUUCACGCAUGCUACAAUGGCCGGUACAAAGGGUUGCGAUACUGUGAGGUGGAGCUAAUCCCAAAAAGCCGGUCUCAGUUCGGAUUGAGGUCUGCAACUCGACCUCAUGAAGUCGGAGUCGCUAGUAAUCGCAGAUCAGCAACGCUGCGGUGAAUACGUUCCCGGGCCUUGUACACACCGCCCGUCAAGUCACGAAAGUCGGUAACACCCGAAGCCGGUGGCCCAACCCUUGUGGA